UAAUCUCAGUGCAGGUCUGUGUUAGGCUGUCCUCACGCAAAUCGGUGCAAUUGAACAUCUUCUGCAUCACAAGC
rnacentral:snoRNA from 1 species